AUUAAGUUGGCAGAGUUAUGUAAUUGACUUAGGAUCAAUAGAAAGAAGUGAAACCCUUCUACUUAAUA
rnacentral:tRNA from 1 species